rnacentral:rRNA from 1 species
GACGUAGGGUGCGAGCGUUGUCCGGAUUUAUUGGGCGUAAAGAGCUCGUAGGCGGCUUGUCGCGUCGACCGUGAAAACUUGGGGCUCACCUCCAAGCCUGCGGUCGAUACGGGCAGGCUAGAGUUCGGUAGGGGAGACUGGAAUUCCUGGUGUAGCGGGGAAAUGCGAAGAGAGAAGGAGGAAAAAAGGGGGCGAAGGCGGGUCUCUGGGCCGAUACUGACGCUGAGGAGCGAAAGCGUGGGGAGCGAACAGG